ACAUCAAAAAAUAAAAACUUACCGGUGGCGGAACUUUUCGGUGAGGUGGCUCCGCCGACUCACCUUCGCGGCUGCGCGUUUUUUUCUGUCAACAUGUAGAAAACAUAAUUGUGAAAAAAUCGUACGAAACGGAAAACGGGAAGGGGCUCAUCGGAUGCGAUUUCGAAUUUUGCCUGCGGCAGUGUUGCCGAGCUUUACCCGCAAUUUUUAGCUAAUUUGCCUUUUUUUUUUGCUCCGAUUUGGCCAUGGAGGUGUUUGAAUUAAAUUUCGAGCAUAUAAGAGAAUUUUUAUCUUUUUUGGCGGUCGGAGGUGGCUCUGGCGCGACGGCGAGCGGCGAUUAGCUCAUUUCUCCGGUGACUGGUUCUUCUUCUCCGGCGGGAGGCUGGCGGCUAGGAUUUGGAUUCGCUAUGAUGCGAGAUAUUUAUAUUCGUCUUCCUUAAAUAUGGACCGUUCAUCGUGUUUGAUCACGAUCGUCCGAUUGUAUUUAAAGAAGAAAUG
rnacentral:lncRNA from 1 species